rnacentral:lncRNA from 1 species
GGAACAGAGAAGAAUCAUGUUAAUUGGUGUUCUUUUUUCCAAAGUGUGCUGUAUGGAACAGCAUGGGAGUUUCAGUUUCUCUGGGCAAGAUCAUGGGGAGCACCCCAAGAGCUUAGGCAGUGGCCAGAAGUCUUGCUCACUUUUUGUCUAUGAACCUGAAUGCUGGAAGAAAAGAAGUGACAGCAGCGGUCAGGACCAGGGCUACUUUGUCCUCACCCGACACUCGCCUGUAGACCCUGAGGGCUGGACUGCGCAUCUGGAGGGGCUCCUGGGCCAUGGGGGGCCUCCUGGAAGGGCACAAAGCCCUGAAAUUCAUGUGCUGGAGCUGCGCCUGGUCAUCUAGAGUCUUGGGGUCUUGCCCAGAAAAGGAAGCCUGUAUGCUGGACUUGGCAGAAGAGCGAGAUGGAGAAAAGUCCACGUGAGCUCACAGCAAGAAGGCAGCUGUCUGCAAGCCAGGAAGAGGCCCUCACUGCCAGAGCCCCACCAUGCCAGGACCUCAUCUAGAUGUCCAGCCCCCCCCCCCCCCCCCGCCGCCCCCCAACUGUUGUUUAAAGCCCCCGGGGGG